rnacentral:lncRNA from 1 species
GUAGGGAAACGUAUGUUGGGUAGUACGGAGAUAAUGCUUCAGACGACAGAGCAGAUACGACAGGUCAUACAGAGGUUAUUGACCGCUCAGAGUUGCCAGAAGAGUUACGCGGAUAGGCGAAGAUCCGAACUCGAGUUCCAGGUUGAUGAUUUUGUGCUCCUGAAGGUAUCUCCUUGGAAAGGAGUGAUCCGAUUCAGGAAAGGGGCAAGCUGGGACCUCGGUAUAUUGGUCCGUUUAGAGUGAUCGUGAGGGUGGGAAAAGUAGCGUAUCGCUUGGAGCUACCGGCAGACUUGGACCAGAUUCAUGAUACCUUCCACGUGUCGUAGCUGAGGAAGUGUAUUGCCGAUGAGUUGGCAAUGGUACCAUUAGAGGAUAUCCAGGUGGACGUAAGUUUGAAUUAUGCUGAGAAGCCGAUCGCAAUCUUGGAUCGGAGGAUCAAGGUUCUGAGAAACAAGGAAGUGCCCCUGGUUCAGGUCCAGUGGCAACAUCGUAGAGGGUCCGAGCUGACCUGGGAGCCAUAGUCGGAGAUGCGGGAGCAGCAUCCGGAGUUGUUCGCUGCAUGAUACUUCGAGGGCGAAGUCUAGUUCUAGUGGGGGAAAAUUGUAACAACCCGAAAUCCAGGUAAGCUUUCUGACCCUUCUAUUUUGGAGAGUUGGCAUUUUUGUCCCUUAAAGUUGUAUGUUGGAUUGGUGAGUACGCUGGGCGUAUUGAGGUGUACGUCGCGCGUACUCACACGCUUAAAUUGUACGCGGACUCAUUUGGGUAUGCUCGGCGUAGUGAGCCCAGAUGCAAACCCUAAUUUCUGGCUUGUGCACUAUAAAAGGAACAUGUAGUCCUCUGCCCUAGCCACCAUAUCCCCUUGAGUGAGUCCUUUGAGAGCUGAGAUCUGUGCUUUAUCUUGUGUGUGUGUUUUUGAGCUUGAAGUUAUCCUUUCAAGGUGAAGAAGGAGAAGGAGGAGCCAUUAUUGGAGCUAGAAGUUGAAGAACAAGUGUAGAUCCAAGAUCUACAGUGGUUGGAGAUCCCUUCUGAGGUAAAAAGCUCAAAGCUUUCCUUAUUCUUCAUAAGUUUUGCUUUUUGUACCAUUUUUAGGGUUUUUGGUUCAAAGUUGGAGACUUUGUGUGCAAAGAGUCUCCAUGAGCUUAGAUCUGACCUUUUCUAGUGUAUAUGGUGUUGAGGAUACAUAAAAAUCCAGUCUUGGAUGUGGAUCUUCUGUCAUGCAUGAGUUAUAGUCUCAUUAUUGAAAGAGGAAAGGUGUGUUGAGAACGAAGUGACCUAUAUAGCCAUGCAAGGCUUAAAGGUUUCAAAUUUAUGGAUUAAGUUAUAUUAGAGGAGUCGGAUCUAAAUUUUGGAUGCAAGUCUUAACUUAUUAAGACCUGAAUGAGAUGGAUAAGGAAGUUGGGUAUUACGCUGGGCAUAAUCCCAGUACGCGCGGCGUAAGGGGCCGCUUAACCCAAUUCUAUGAAGGCUCCGAAUAUGCCUUGGGUACACGUUUGGUACACGCAGCGUAACCCGGAGGGUUGACUUUUGUUGACUUUUAGGGUUUGGUCAACUUUAGUGUAUUUGAGCCAAGUAAGGGGUAAAAUGGUCUUUUACCUUUCCUGAGAGUGAUUAGAAGGAAUGGUCUGGCCUUAUGAAAUAUGUUGUUAACGAGUGUUUAUUUCAUAUGAUUAAGCGGAGGCUAGGUCUUACUGCACUGAGUCCGAGAUUUCCGAGUUACACGAGGUGAAUCUUCUCACUAUACGUUUCCUAGAGUGGCAUUAUGUGUUGACCAGAGGGUCUUAUCUGUUAUGUGUGAGAUUAUGUGCUAUGUGUUAUAUGUAUGUUGUAUGAUUUUAUAAACUGGACAGGAGGGUCCAUGUAACAGCCCGGAAUUUCAGGUAUUUCUUUAAAUUAUUUUUGGGGCACAUUUAGGAGGGGACUCGGCGAGUUGGUGCACGACUCGCCGAGUAGGGCCAUGGUCUUGGUCGCAGACGCGCGACUGGACUCGACGAGUCCAAAAAGGGACUCGGCUAGUCGACGCCGUUCAACUGAACCCUAGCCGUUUCAUUUCUGAUCGUAUAUAACGAUCUUAUGGCCGUCAUGUCGCGUCUUUUGGCCGGUUGAAGAUCCCCUGGGAGUGUGUGAGCAUCUGAAGCAAGAGAGAGGACUUGAGAAGGCUUGAAGAGAUUGUUAGACAAGGAGGAGCAAGGUGGUGAUCAAAGGAAUCGAGUACUGGAGGUUUGGAGACACAGGGAACACGUUUCCAGGUAAUCUUCGGAUCGAAAUCUGUAACUUUUACGUUGUAUGCGAGUUUAGGGUUUAGGAAACCCAAUUAAGGGUUAGUUAGAUUAUAUUGUUGUUAUAAGUGUUAAAAACCCUUGUAAUAGUAUAUGUGGAAGUCCAGGAAGCCCUAUAACUAUAUACUUCGAAAUCAUGCGAAAUACAGGAGGCAGUGGAUUGACUGCAUGGCGAGGACUCGCCGAGUCCAAUGAUCAGACUCGGCGAGUAGCUUGAAGAUUCACUAGAACUCGCCGAGUUGUUCUUCAGACUCGGCGAGUAGCUUGAAGGUUCACUAGGACUCGUCGAGUUGUUCUUCAGACUCGGCGAGUAGCUUGAAGAUCUACUGGAACUCGUCGAGUCGUUCUUCAGACUCGGCGAGUGGUGUCAGGAUGUCUAUACUCGUCGAGUUACCCUUUGCACUCGACGAGUCCGGUCAAGAUUGACCGUUGACCUGUAUAUAUCUUAGAGGGGUCAGUUGUCUUGUUUGAUAAGAUCAUUAACUAGGGCUGUGGUAUUAUAGGGAACCUGCGGACUAGCGGAUUGUGUGCGAGUAGCUCGAAGAGGUUAUAGCCUGCGUACUACGAGGUGAGUCUUCUCACUAUACUUCACCCGGAAGGGUUUGACUGUUAGACCGGAAGGUCGUGUGUGUUAUAUUCAUGCUAUGUCUAGAGAGGUAGAUGCUUUAUAUGUGAUGUGUGCUUAUAUGUGAUGUAUGCUUAUACGGGCCGGAAGGCGAGACUUUAUGUGAUAGAAAGAACGGUAUGAUGUAUGAUUUAUGUGUUAUGAGUAUUAUGUUACAUGUGUUAUGUUUUAUACUAUCAUGGGCCGGAAGGCAAAAUGCUAUGGGCCGGAAGGCAAUCUAAUACGGGCCGGAAGGCGAUAUAUAUUAUGGACCGAAAGGUCCGGGCCGGAAGGCGUAUGUGGGUAAGUCGUAUACUGGGGAACUCACUAAGCAUUUAUGCUUACUAGUUGUGUUUAUGUUUUUCAGGUACUAGUGAUGACCGUGGAAAGGCGCCGGCGUGACACGUACACACUGCCACUGUUGAAGAUCCUGGAGAUUUAUUAUUUAUAUUUUGAAACAAACUUGGAAUAAACCCUUUUGUCGAAUAAUGAUGUUUUGUUUUAAACGAAAAAUUUAUUUGAAAAUUUGAGCUGUUACAAUUGGUAUCAGAGCCUUGGUUUGAGGGAUUCGGGGGUACUUUUGGGUGCAACUGAACUCAGACCGGGGAUUUGAGGAAAAACUUUUUCUUAAAAAUGAUAAGGACGUAACAUUUUAUAAAGGGCAAGGCGGUAAAAACAAGGGUGGAACAGUGUGUACGAGCAGCCAGCGUCCGAACGGUAAAGAUCCCCAGAAUACCUUACGAUGUUAUGUUAUGCACUGAAUUAUGAAUUGUUAUGCAUGCUAGAAGACUAGGUAUACAUGAUAGGAAUAGAAUUGCCUGUUUUGUGAUGCCUUAGUCUAGGGAGAUUGCUUAUAUGAGAUAUUUGGUAGCGUGCAAGUAAAUAGUGCAUACUAGAAGUAGAGUACUCGUUAUUCGGGAUUUGGGGAGGAAGAUUUGGGACGAAUACUGAUACGGUGUGGUCGGUAGUAUUGGGCCCGUACUAUCGAAGGCACCGGAUCAGUGGAAGACUCAAAUAAGAAUCCCUGGAAAUCGGAGACUGGGUAGGGCGCGUAUCGAGUACAAUUGUACUUGGUGGAGUCUCUGAUGAUUUUAUGUUGUAUUUCAGAGACAUCAUGGUUAUCACACGCAAUGGGGCGAGUUCGAGCGGUGCGAGUGACGAGGAGAUUCGUCAGAUUAUUCAGGAAGAGGUAGCUGCGGCGGUCCGGGCUGAGAUCCCGGAGAUGUUUGGGUCUAUUAAGACCACGUUGAUGGAGGAGUUUGAGGAGCGGUGCGCCGCACUUACUGAAGCUGCAGUUGCUGCCGCUACCGCAGCGGUGGCUGCUGCCAGGCCGCAAGGGGGUGAUUCAUUACUAUUCAGGGAAUUCAGCAACACGAAACCCCCUGAAUUUGAUGGGACGCAGGAUCCGAUUGCAGCUAUGAGGUGGAUCGCCGACAUCGAGGGGUGCUUCUAUACUUGCUCAUGCCCGGAGCACUUGAGGGUACGGUUCGCCUUGAACCAGCUCCGUCUGGGAGCGAAGGAUUGGUGGAAGUUCGUGACGGCGAACUUCACUCAGGCAGAGAUUUCGGUGGUGACAUGGGAGAGGUUUACAGAGAUGUUCAGGGAUGAGUACGUUCCCCCGGUAGAGAGGGAGCGAUUGAUUCAGGAGUUCUUGACCCUUAAGCAGGGUACUGAUUCCGUGGCAGUGAUCACACGGAAGUUUCAUGAGAGGGCAAUGUUCUGCCCCGAGCUGGUAUCUACGGAGCAGUCGCGGAUGAGCCGCUAUUUGGGUGUUUUGAAGAGGGAGAUUCGGGAGUUUGUGUCAAACUCCACCUAUCGUACUUUCACUGAGCUUCAGGCGAACGCCAGGAAGCGCGAGAUUGAGUUGGAGACUCAAGCGAGGGAGGAGGCUGAGUCUCGGCAGGUGGAUCGACGGCCGGCCCAGUCUCAGCCGGCAGCCAAGCGGACUAAGUUCGCUGAUUCGAGGAUGGGAGGUUCGAAGGGUCGCACUUGCGCGAAGUGCGGCAAGAGUCACGAGGGGGCGUGUCGAGCUGGUGGUUGCUACAAGUGUGGCAAGGACGGACAUAUUGCCAGGGAUUGCCCUAAGGGGUUUAUGGUUUGCUUUCACUGCAACCAGACAGGCCAUCGGAAGGCCGAGUGCCCGCAACUUCGUCAGGGAGCUACACCUACUACCCGGACUACUGAGACCCGACCGGUGAAGGUCGAGGCCCCGAGGGCUCGCGGGAGAGCCUUUCAGCUGACUGCGGAGGAGGUCCGCGCUGCGCCCGAUGUUGUGGCAGGUAUGUUAUCUUUCAUGUAUUUAAUUAAAGGUCGAAAUGUUAUGCUUAUGUUAAUGUAUGUGUAGGUACUUUCCUUGUGAACUCUAUGCCUGCUCUAGUAUUAUUUGAUUCGGGUGCGAGUAGAUCGUUUGUAUCGUUAGCUUUUAGUCAGCACAUCGGCAUUAGUCGUGAGCCGUUAAGUCGGCCUUUGAGCGUUUCCAUUGCGGCUGAGAGGGUGAUUUGUGCUACGGAGGUUUUUCGGGGAUGUGUGCUAGAGAUCUUCGGGGUCGCAUUUCCGAUUGACCUAAUUCCUAUUGCGAUGGGUGAUGUCUGUGUCAUUGUAGGCAUGGACUGGUUGAGCCGAUUCAGCGCUGUCAUCGACUGCGAGCGUCAGUUGGUGACUAUACGAGACCCUAGUGGGGGAGUUCUUACGGUGUACGGCGAGGGUACCCGUUCGAGAUCAGCUUUUUGUUCGGCUGCUAGGGCGAGGCAAUGCCUACAGCGGGGAUGUAACGGUUUUGUGGCGUAUGUGAUGGAUACGCGGGAGAGUUCCGAGAGACCGAAGACAUUGAAGGAGGUUCCAGUGGUGCGCGAGUUUCCAGAUGUUUUCCCCGAGGAUUUGCCGGGAAUACCUCCUGCGAGGCAAGUGGAGUUUGGUAUCGACCUAGUUCCAGGGGCGGCGCCUAUUGCGAAGGUGCCUUAUCGUCUUGCACCUCCAGAGAUGCAAGAAUUGUCCUCGCAACUUCAAGAGUUGUUGGGGAAGGGAUUUAUUCGGCCGAGUAGCUCGCCGUGGGGAGCACCGAUUCUGUUCGUCAAGAAGAAGGAUGGUUCACACCGGAUGUGUAUCGAUUACCGGGAACUGAACAAGGUGACAGUUAAGAACCGCUAUCCGUUACCAAGAAUCGAUGAUCUAUUCGAUCAGUUGCAAGGGGCAUCUUGGUUUUCCAAGAUUGAUUUGAGAUCAGGGUACCAUCAGGUAAGGGUGCGGGAUGAGGACGUCCAGAAGACAGCCUUUAGGACGCGGUAUGGGCAUUACGAGUUCGUGGUGAUGCCUUUUGGGCUCACCAAUGCCCCAGCAGUGUUCAUGGAUCUCAUGAACAGGGUAUGCAGGCCGAUGCUGGAUCGGUCUGUGAUUGUAUUCAUCGACGACAUUCUGGUGUAUUCGCGGUCUAGGGAGCAGCAUGAGGGACAUUUGAGGGAGGUCCUUGAGGUACUGAGGUCGGAGAAGCUAUAUGCAAAAUUCUCCAAAUGUGACUUCUGGUUACGGGAGGUUCAAUUUCUGGGGCACGUUGUAAAUCAGGCAGGGAUAUUGGUCGAUCCGGCCAAGGUGGAGGCGGUGAUGAGAUGGGAGGCACCAAAGUCACCUUCGGAGAUCAGGAGUUUCCUUGGGUUGGCAGGGUACUAUCGAAGGUUCAUUAGGGACUUCUCCAAGAUCGCAGUGCCACUUACCAAAUUGACCCGAAAGGGUGUUACAUUCUCAUGGGGACCCGAGCAGCAGACUUCCUUCGAGACACUUCGUCAGAGACUGUGCGAAGCACCAGUAUUAGCCCUUCCUGAAGGGAUGGAGGACUUCGUCGUAUAUUGCGACGCAUCGAUUUCAGGACUGGGUGCAGUGUUGAUGCAGAGGGGCCAUGUGAUAGCCUAUGCAUCGAGGCAGCUGAAGCCUCACGAAGCGAGAUAUCCCACGCAUGACUUAGAGUUGGGGGCAGUAGUGUUCGCCCUCAAAAUUUGGCGUCACUACCUGUACGGGGUUCGUUGUACCAUAUACACGGACCAUAAGAGUUUGAAGUAUUUGAUGGAUCAACCCAACCUAAACAUGCGCCAGAGGAGAUGGUUAGACGUGGUUAAGGAUUAUGACUGUGAGAUCCUAUACCACCCAGGCAAGGCUAAUGUGGUAGCCGAUGCAUUGAGUCGUAGGGCGGAGGGUACUCCAUUGCGGGACGUAUGUUUGAGAUUGACGGUGGUGACUCCGGUAUUAGAUACUAUUCGUGGGGCACAGGCCGAGGUUGUGAAGUCUGGGAUGCAGAAACAGGAGCGGGUCGUCGGGUUAAUUUCAGAGUUCGUUACGGAUGGGCGGGGACUUCUGACAUUUCAGGGUCGGAUCUGGGUGCCAUUCGUGGGCGGUACGCGUGUCAUUUUGAUGGAGGAGGCACAUAGAUCGAAAUUCUCGAUCCAUCCCGGUGCUACGAAAAUGUAUCUGGAUUUGAAAAAGGAGUACUGGUGGCCUUGCAUGAAGAGAGACGUUGCGUGGUUCGUGGAGAGGUGUUUGACCUGCCGUAAAGUUAAGGCCGAGCACCAGAGACCGCACGGUAAGUUGCAACCCUUGGAGAUCCCUGAGUGGAAGUGGGAUCAGAUCACGAUGGAUUUCAUCACCAAAUUGCCGAAAACUGCCAGGGGAGUCGAUGCGAUUUGGGUGAUUGUGGAUAGACUAACAAAGAGUGCACAUUUCCUUGCCAUUAGUGAAAGUUCAUCAGCAGAGAAGUUGGCGGAGUUGUACGUGAGAGAGAUAGUAUCUCGGCAUGGAGUGCCGACCUCGAUUGUUUCGGACCGCGAUGUACGUUUCACUUCCAGGUUCUGGAAGAAAUUCCAUGAGGAGUUGGGUACUAAACUGCAUUUUAGUACCGCAUACCAUCCCCAGACCGACGGUCAAAGCGAGCGGACGAUCCAGACAUUGGAAGAUAUGCUUAGAGCGUGUGUGUUAGACUUCGGGGGUAGCUGGGAUGCGCAUCUGCCGCUGGCUGAGUUUUCCUACAACAACAGCCAUCAUUCGAGCAUUGGUAUGCCACCUUUUGAGUUGUUGUAUGGUAGGAGGUGUCGGACUCCCAUUUGCUGGGGAGAAGUGGGACAGAGAGUGAUGGGCAGUACAGAGAUCGUACUUCAAACGACUGAACAGAUCCAACGGGUGAGGCAGAGGUUAUUGACCGCCCAGAGCCGACAGAAGAGUUAUGCGGACAGACGCCGGUCCGAGCUCGAAUUCCAGGUCGGCGACUUCGUUCUCCUAAAGGUUUCUCCUUGGAAAGGGGUGAUUCGGUUCAGGAAGAGGGGCAAAUUGGGGCCCCGGUUCAUAGGUCCAUUUCGGGUAAUUGCAAGGGUAGGUCGGGUAGCUUAUCGGUUGGAGUUGCCAGCGGAGCUGAAUCAGAUUCACAAUACCUUCCACGUAUCACAGCUGAGGAAGUGUAUAGCCGAUGAGGCAGCAGUGGUUCCGUUAGAAGAUAUCCAGGUAGAUGCGAGUCUGAAUUACGCCGAGAGACCAGUAGCUAUCAGGGAUCGGAAGAUCAAGGUUCUACGGAACAAGGAAAUACCUCUGGUGUUGGUUCAGUGGCAACAUCGGAAGGGAUCGGAGAUGACUUGGGAGCCGGAAAGAGAAAUGCGGGAGCAACAUCCGGAGUUAUUCGCAGAAUGAGAGACUUCGAGGGCGAAGUCUAGUUCUAGUGGGGGAGAGUUGUAACAGCCCGGAAUUUCAGGUAUUUCUUUAAAUUAUUUUUGGGGCACAUUUAGGAGGGGACUCGGCGAGUUGGUGCACGACUCGCCGAGUAGGGCCAUGGUCUUGGUCGCAGACGCGCGACUGGACUCGACGAGUCCAAUAAGGGACUCGGCGAGUCGACGCCGUUCAGCUGAACCCUAGCCGUUUCAUUUCUGAUCGUAUAUAACGAUCUUAUGGCCGUCAUGUCGCGUCUUUUGGCCGGUUGAAGAUCCCCUGGGAGUGUGUGAGCAUCUGAAGCAAGAGAGAGGACUUGAGAAGGCUUGAAGAGAUUGUUAGACAAGGAGGAGCAAGGUGGUGAUCAAAGGAAUCGAGUACUGGAGGUUUGGAGACACAGGGAACACGUUUCCAGGUAAUCUUCGGAUCGAAAUCUGUAACUUUUACGUUGUAUGCGAGUUUAGGGUUUAGGAAACCCAAUUAAGGGUUAGUUAGAUUAUAUUGUUGUUAUAAGUGUUAAAAAACCCCGUAAUAGUAUAUGUGAAAGUCCAGGAAGCCCUAUAUCUAUAUACUUCGAAAUCAUGCGAAAUACAGGAGGCAGCGGAUUGACUGCAUGGCGAGGACUCGCCGAGUCCAAUGAUCAGACUCGGCGAGUAGCUUGAAGAUUCACUAGAACUCGCCGAGUUGUUCUUCAGACUCGGCGAGUAGCUUGAAGGUUCACUAGGACUCGUCGAGUUGUUCUUCAGACUCGGCGAGUAGCUUGAAGAUCUACUGGAACUCGUCGAGUCGUUCUUCAGACUCGGCGAGUGGUGUCAGGAUGUCUAUACUCGUCGAGUUACCCUUUGCACUCGACGAGUCCGGUCAAGAUUGACCGUUGACCUGUAUAUAUCUUAGAGGGGUCAGUUGUCUUGUUUGAUAAGAUCAUUAACUAAGGCUGUGGUAUUAUAGGGAACCUGCGGACUAGCGGAUUGUGUGCGAGUAGCUCGAAGAGGUUAUAGCCUGCGUACUACGAGGUGAGUCUUCUCACUAUACUUCACCCGGAAGGGUUUGACUGUUAGACCGGAAGGUCGUGUGUGUUAUAUUCAUGCUAUGUCUAGAGAGGUAGAUGCUUUAUAUGUGAUGUGUGCUUAUAUGCGAUAUAUGUUAUGUGGAUCGAAAGAUCCGGGCCGGAAGGCAAUGUUAUGUGGAUCGAAAGAUCCGGGCCGGAAGGCAAUGUUAUGUGGAUCGAAAGAUCCGGGCCGGAAGGCAAUGUUAUGUGGAUCGAAAGAUCCGGGCCGGAAGGCAAUGUUAUGUGGAUCGAAAGGUCCGGGCCGGAAGGCAAUGUUAUGUGGAUCGAAAGGUCCGGGCCGGAAGGCGUAUGUGGGUAAGUCGUAUACUGGGGAACUCACUAAGCAUUUAUGCUUACUAGUUGUGUUUAUGUUUUUCAGGUACUAGUGAUGACCGUGGAAAGGCGCCGGCGUGACACGUACACACUGCCACUGUUGAAGAUCCUGGAGAUUUAUUAUUUAUAUUUUGAAAUAAACUUGGAAUAAACCCUUUUGUCGAAUAAUGAUGUUUUGUUUUUAACGAAAAAUUUAUUUGAAAAUUUGAGAAAAUUUAUUUGAAAAUUUGAGCUGUUACAGUCCAACGAUACAAACCGGGCCGGAGGGCCCAACGUGCUAUGACCGGACUAGAGGCUCCAAUGAGCUACGAGACUAAAGGGUCCCGCUGCGACACAUCGACCGGAAGGUCAUGCUAUAGCCUCAAGUGGCGUAUGUGUUGUAUGCGGUGUUUUGGAGAACUCACUAAGCAUUUAUGCUUACAGUUGUUGUGUUAUGUGUUUCAGGUACUAACGAGGACUGUGGGAAGUCGCCGUCAUGACUCGUACACACUAGAGAAGGGAUAUGAUUUUCUGAUCUCGGGAAAUGUUAUGUUUCGAUAACUGUUGUUGAAUACUUUUGAGAAUAUUUUUAUAUAAAUUUGGUUGCUGAAAAAUGAAAAAUUUGUUUUGGAAAUUACGUUGUUACACUAUUUCAUGUAUUUGUCCAGCUGAUAUCUUGAGAACUGAGGAUUAUAUGGUUACUUAUUUGAAGGACGCGUCACUGACUAGGUCAGAUUUUGACAACGACUUUUGUAAGCUUAUGAUUGCUAAGUCAGAUCUUGAAGUGCAUAAGCAAUAAUAGUUAUUAGACCUAUCCAAGAGGGAGACUACUGUAUUUGGUGUCUAAGCCCAUAACUAUAAAUAGUAUGUACUUGACCCGAAUGUAGCAUGGUCCUUUUGGGUUGCCUUCACCAGUACAAUUUGAUAGGACGAAUUUUGAGAAUAAGGUUAUUUAUUAUUUAUUAAUAUAUUAUAAGUAUAAUAUAUUAAUAUGGAAUUAUUUAAUUAGUAUUGAUCAAGAAUUAAUUUAUUAAUUUUGUGAUCAAAAGAGACUAAUUAAAUAUAUGGGGAUUGAUUAUGUAAAUCAGUCAUUCUUGUAGUGUGGGCUAAGGAUCCAUGAUUAUGGGCUAAACUAAUCCAUGGAUAGUCCAUGGAGGUUGAACCCAUGGAGCAUGGGAAUGUCGAAAGUCGUUGGUUAUUAGGGUUUACCAAGUGUAACCCUAGCAUAUCCAACACUAUAAAUAGAACCCUCCAUAGACCAAAAUUGGUUGCCUCUUCUCUUUGUGAUAAAUAGAUUAUUAUCUUAAAUCAUCCUCUUGCAUAUUGGUGUUUGUGAACCAUUAGAUCCAUCAUACUUGAGGUGCUCAAGCUUUAAAUGGUCAAGAACAAGUCCUUCAAAUGGUUUGUCAUCUAACUAGAUGUUUUAUUCAACUGGUAAUUUGAAUGCUAGUUAGGACAAUGCUUUAGAAAACAUGAAAAUAUGCAUGUAUAAUAGAGAAAACAUAGAUCGAAAGCAUUUAGGGUUAAAUGUGCACCAUAGGAGUGUUAUAGUGCUCAAAACCCAACACGGAGGACUAAGGACUGGUUCCUUACCCUCACUGGGAGUGAUGACUUGAGAGUGACAGGGUAUAGUGAGACCAGCUUUCAGACCGACAAAGAUAAUUUCCGCUCUCGGUCGGGCUAGGUUUUUACCCCGAAUGGAGGAGCAAUAACCCGGAAAAGUUCCAAACAGGAUACUGUAGUUGAUUCAACAUGUGAAUCAGAGCAUAUAGCAGCAAGCGAAGCAACGAAGGACGCGAUAUGGCUGAUUAACUUCAUCGUAUACCUUGGAGUUGUACCAGCUAUAAAGGAGCCUAUGGAGAUUUUCUAUGAUUGUGAGAGUGUGGUCACCUUAGCCAAGGAAGCAAGGGAUCAUGGUAGAUCCCGGCACAUCGAGAGAAAAUAUCACAUCAUAAGACACCAGAUAGAAUAAUGACAGCUCAUAAAAAAGAGGGUAUCGUCAAAGGAGAACCCCACAGAUCCCCUUAUGAAGGGACUAGGUGGUGUUAAGUACUUUCAGCAUGCGAGGAGCAUUAGGAUGAAGGACGAUAUUAGUUUCGAUAAUUAGAUAGCUAUUUAGAAACUUGUAAUAGAUAAAAUGUAAUUGACAAUUGAUGAUUAAAUAAAAGGUGUUUUGUUUAUAAGUAAAUUUACUAUCUUGUGUCAAUUGUUUAGUAUUGUUUCAUUUUGCAUGUUGUGACUUCCGGAAUAAAUAAAUUAUUCAAACUAUCCACAGUCAUAAUACUUUGGAAGUAGGUAUUGAGGCAAGACUGUCAUGAAUUUGGCGUGUAGAUUGCCUUUAGUGUUUAGGCAUAGCAAAGUUUACUACAACAUUCAUGAGUGCUCAUAAGGUCUGAUUAUUGGAUUAAACUGACGCUUACUUGAAUCACUUCAUGGAAUUUAUAAUGAGUGAUUGUGAGACGAUAGUAUCAUAUUGUCUUCAAACCAAUAGAUAUGGGUUAUUGACUAUGAGUUGGUUGUACAGUGAUAGUGCGAAACCACAUUAGUACCUUGAUGCCAUAAAACGUGCUAUUGUGUUUGAUUUAACGAGUAGUUAGUACAAACAUAUGAGUCGAAGUUUAUCUAUUCCUUUUAAUCCUUGGAGGAUUAAAAGCGAUAUGUUGGGCCCCUCGAUGAUUAUUUUUCAAACAAUUAGAAACAUACAUAUGAGAAAGUGGUUCCAAUGAAGUAUUAUUUGUAAAGAGUUAGAAACAUCAAAUAAUCAAACAAUUAGAAACAUCAACUAAUGGCAUUAAGAUGUCGACAUAAAAAGUUGUGUUGCAGCUAUAACUUGGGCAUAUGUAUGAAUAUAUGUAUCGAUUGUUGACAUGAGACAUGAUUUCUCAGGGGAUCAAGAUGGAGCAGUGACAGUGUAUCUUAAAGUAAGUGUUUCACAUUUUAAGCCCCGAUUCUAAGCAUUUACCAGUGACAGUGUAUCUUAAAGUAAGUGUUUCACAUUUUAAGCCCCGAUUCUAAGCAUUUACCAGAAUCCCAUGUUGAUGGUUCCUUUCUAUUUUCAGUUGGAUUACAGUUUUUUCCGUCUAUUCGCUCUUUACCCUAAUAUCGAUUCUUUCUUAGAUUCAUAAUGGUAAUUUAAACUUUUGAAGUUGAUGGACAUCUGAAAGUAUUUUUUUUCUUCAAUGUAUUUCUGUUAAUUUUGUAAGGUUUCUAAAAUCAGUUCAAUUGUAAUCAACUUUUAAUUAUUAUAUUUUAUUUAUUUUUAAUUAAUAUUUUUUUUUUCUAAGUUAUUUUAUCAUUAUGAAUUUUCUUCUUAUUUCAUUUAAUCAGUAAUUUAGAUUGUUUAAAUUUAUCAUUCUAUUUAAUAAAAUAUCUCUAUUUAUUUUAUAUCUUUAUUUUUGUGAUUAAGAAUUCUUUAAAUAUAACCUUUUAAAUGUUUUGAAUUAAAUACAUUAGCUAUCAACAAAAUUCAAUUUUUUUUUCUUUUUGUAUUUUGUUCGAAUACGUUAUUUAAUUUUGUAUUUAGACAUUUUGUUUAUUUUGUACUUAUAUACGGGCUAAUCUGGAACGAUAAUAUGCUAGUCCGAAUGGGUUUGNNNNNNNNNNNNNNNNNNNNNNNNNNNNNNNNNNNNNNNNNNNNNNNNNNNNNNNNNNNNNNNNNNNNNNNNNNNNNNNNNNNNNNNNNNNNNNNNNNNNNNNNNNNNNNNNNNNNNNNNNNNNNNNNNNNNNNNNNNNNNNNNNNNNNNNNNNNNNNNNNNNNNUAUUAAAUUUAUAAUAAUAAUAAUAAUAAUAAUAAUAAUAAUAAUAAUAAUAAUAAAACGUUAUAUAUUCUUAUAUUAAAAUAAAGUUAUAAUAAAUUUUACAAUAGAGUUAUUAUAAAUAAGAAAAUCGUUAUAUAUUUUCUAUUAAGAAAACUAUUAUAUAUAUUCUAUUAAAGUAAAGUUAAAUAAUUUUAUAAUUUUACAUUUUCCCUUUUUUUAUAUCGUUAUUUAAACAUUUUUUAUGUGAUCAUAUAUUAAAUAUAAAAAUAAACAUAUGGAAUUAAUGCGUAUAACAAAAAUAAAAAAACUCAUUAUAUGNNNNNNNNNNNNNNNNNNNNNNNNNNNNNNNNNNNNNNNNNNNNNNNNNNNNNNUAACCAUAAAAAAACUGAAAAAAAAACUAAAAAAAAUACAAAUCAUAAAAUCAAGCAUAGAUCUAUGUCUGGAAAAAAAUAAUUGGAAAGAAAAUGCAUCAUUAAAAUUGAUACAUUAUUUAAUUUUAAUUUUUUAUUUUGCAUCAUUAUGAUCAAUGAAUUAAUUUUCAUAAUCCAAUUUUUUGUUCUCACGGAUAUCAAUAUAUGCUCUAUUUUAUGAUUUGCAAUUAUUUUAGAUUUUUUUCAAUUAUUUUUUAGGUGUGCUUAUAAGUCUUCACUUUAAAAUGAGUUAGUAUCCGAUCCUGUUACUAUAUAUANNNNNNNNNNNNNNNNNNNNNNNNNNNNNNNNNNNNNNNNNNNNNNNNNNNNNNNNNNNNNNNNNNNNNNUAUAUAUAUAUAUAUAUAUAUAUAUAUAUAUAUAUAUAUAUAUCCGUUUCAACUUUAACCGCUAUCUAUAACAUCUAAAAAGCUGCUAAAGCCCUACUCGCCUCAAUUACAUCGAGCCUAGCUUUACGGGUCAAAACCAACCCCAUUAGGGGUAUGGAAAGAGAUGCUUCCUUGCUUCAGGGACUCUCAAGAACGAAUUGGGACUCAGACUUCCCUACUAUUACCCUUUUUCAAGCUGUAAAUGGGGAACUUGUUUUUGGAACUGCCUUUGAUCUUACGCUCGUAGCGACUAGGUGCGUACCCUUGAAACUAUAUCGGGGACGAAACUCUUCUUUUAACGCCCAAAGAUAGGCCUAUGCAGUCCUUUCUAAUGAAGAUGGUGCAUAGGCCUAUCAAAAUGCUGUUGUCGUCAUUUCUUCUCUUUGCAUCUUCCCUGACCCCUCGUCACUGCAUUCUGAUCAUGUCUCUUAGAGAGAGAAUCUUGUGAAGCUGAGAUGUACAAUCUGAGGGAUUCAUGUCUUUUUCAAUUGAAUCACUAGUCUACUUAUUCUCACACGAACAAAGGGUAGGGUGAGGGAAAAGAAAAGGGGGGAAGCAACUAAAUUGAAGGCUUCGCUCCCAGAUCGCUUCGUGAGCUCAUUUAGUAGACAGCGAGUGUGCGCCCCUUUAGAGAAGAGAUAGGGGCGAGUACUACACGAGCUCGUAAGUCAAGUACGGAACGAGCCUUGUCUACGAAGCAGAGCGACCUCGUCUUGCUUGCUUCUGGCGAAGCUUCUAGCACUGGAUAAUAGGCAUGGCAGGAAUACGACUUUUUAGGUCGACCACUACACUACACAGAAGCAAUAGCAAAGCCAUGCCGUAUAAAAGGCGAGCAGCCCUUAUAGCAAUAGCAAACAACCUACUUAUAGCCCUUCCCAAUUUCCAGUAGUAAACUUCCCAAGUUUAAGCAGGAUAACCCCCUCUCUAUUCUUCUCUUCAUGUGUGUGGGCUGCCUACCCCGUCCCGAAUAGACGAACAGGAACAAGCUGAAGAAGCGAGAGAGAUUUGAGAUUCCAUAAGUAACUCAAUGCUAAGAAAGAAGGGAUUGGAAGAAAAAAAUGAAAUGCGAACAACCGCGCUGGUUGUAAUAGAUCGACUUUCAUGCUAGUUCUUGCUCCAGCAUGAAAGUUCCAUUUCAGGGAAGGACGACGUACUAUGAUACUUUCUGUUUUGUCGAGCCUUGCUUUGGUCUCUGGUUUGNU